AUACUUACCCUGCGGGGAGAUGCCAUGAUCACAGAGGUAGUUUUCCCGGGCGAGGCUUAUGCAUUGUGCUCGGUGUGCUGACCUUGUGAUUUCCCCGAAUGUGGGAAAUCAGCUGCAUGACAUGUGGUAGUGGGGACUGCCUUCCUGCUCUCCCCU